AGUCGAGCGGUAACAUUUCUAGCUUGCUAGAAGAUGACGAGCGGCGGACGGGUGAGUAACGCGUAGGAAUCUACCUAUUGGUGGGGGAUAGCCCAGGGAAACUUGGAUUAAUACCGCAUAAGCUCUUAGGAGGAAAGCGGGGGAUCUUCGGACCUCGUGCCAAUAGAUGAGCCUGCGUAAGAUUAGCUAGAUGGUGGGGUAAUGGCCUACCAUGGCGACGAUCUUUAGCUGGUCUGAGAGGAUGAUCAGCCACACUGGACUGAGACACGGCCCAGACUCCUACGGGAGGCAGCAGUGGGGAAUAUUGCACAAUGGGCGCAAGCCUGAUGCAGCCAUGCCGCGUGUGUGAAGAAGGCCUUAGGGUUGUAAAGCACUUUCAGUGGGGAGGAAAGGUUAUAAGUUAAUACCUUGUAGCUGUGACGUUACCCACAGAAGAAGGACCGGCUAAUUCCGUGCCAGCAGCCGCGGUAAUACGGAAGGUCCGAGCGUUAAUCGGAAUUACUGGGCGUAAAGCGCACGUAGGCGGCUAGGUCAGUUGGGUGUGAAAGCCCCGGGCUCAACCUGGGAACUGCAUCCAAUACUGCCUGGCUAGAGUACGAGAGAGGGGGGUAGAAUUUCUAGUGUAGCGGUGAAAUGCGUAGAUAUUAGAAGGAAUACCAGUGGCGAAGGCGGCCCCCUGGCUCGAUACUGACGCUGAGGUGCGAAAGCGUGGGGAGCAAACAGGAUUAGAUACCCUGGUAGUCCACGCCGUAAACGAUGUCUACUAGCCGUUGGGGAACUUGAUUCCUUAGUGGCGCAGCUAACGCAAUAAGUAGACCGCCUGGGGGAGUACGGCCGCAAGGUUAAAACUCAAAUGAAUUGACGGGGGCCCGCACAAGCGGUGGA
rnacentral:rRNA from 1 species